rnacentral:rRNA from 1 species
AACCAGACUCCUACGGGAGGCAGCAGUGAGGAAUAUUGGGCAAUGGAGGCAACUCUGACCCAGCCAUGCCGCGUGAGUGAAGAAGGUUUUCGGAUUGUAAAGCUCUUUCGGAUGUGACGAUGAUGACGGUAGCAUCUAAAGAAGCCACGGCUAACUACGUGCCAGCAGCCGCGGUAAUACGUAGGUGGCAAGCGUUGUUCGGAAUAACUGGGCGUAAAGGAUGCGUAGGCGGUUAAACAAGUUAUAUGUUAAAUAUAUAGGCUUAACAUGUAGAAAGCAUAUAAAACUGUUUAACUAGAGUGCAGGAGAGGUAAGUGGAAUUCCUAGUGUAGCGGUGAAAUGCGUAGAGAUUAGGAAGAACACCAGUGGCGAAGGCGACUUACUGGACUGUAACUGACGCUGAGGCAUGAGAGCAUGGGGAGCAAACAGGAUUAGAUACCCCUGUAC